UACGGAGGGUGCGAGCGUUGUCCGGAAUCACUGGGCGUAAAGGGCGCGUAGGCGGCCUGAUAAGUAGGGGGUGAAAUCCUGCGGCUUAACCGCAGGGCUGCCUUCUAAACUGCCAGGCUAGAGCACGGUAGAGGCAGAUGGAAUUCCCGGUGUAGCGGUGGAAUGCGUAGAGAUCGGGAAGAACAUCAGUGGCGAAGGCGGUCUGCUGGGCCGUUGCUGACGCUGAGGCGCGACAGCGUGGGGAGCAAACAGG
rnacentral:rRNA from 1 species